rnacentral:rRNA from 1 species
CGCCCUUAGAGUUUGAUCAUGGCUCAGGACGAACGCUGGCGGCGUGCCUAAUACAUGCAAGUUGAGCGUUGGUACUUGUACCAAGAGCAGCGAACGGGUGAGUAACGCGUGGGGAAUCUGCCUUUGAGCGGGGGACAACAUUUGGAAACGAAUGCUAAUACCGCAUAAAAACUUAACACAAGUUUAAGUUGAAAGAUGAUUGCAUCACUCAAAGAUGAUCCCGCGUUGUAUUAGCUAGUUGGUGAGGUAAAGGCUCACCAAGGCGAUGAUACAUAGCCGACCUGAGAGGGUGAUCGGCCACAUUGGGACUGAGACACGGCCCAAACUCCUACGGGAGGCAGCAGUAGGGAAUCUUCGGCAAUGGACGAAAGUCUGACCGAGCAACGCCGCGUGAGUGAAGAAGGUUUUCGGAUCGUAAAACUCUGUUGGUAGAGAAGAACGUUGGUGAGGAAACUCAUCAAGUGACGGUAACUACCCAGAAAGGGACGGCUAACUACGUGCCAGCAGCCGCGGUAAUACGUAGGUCCCGAGCGUUGUCCGGAUUUAUUGGGCGUAAAGCGAGCGCAGUGGUUUAUUAAGUCUGGUGUAAAAGGCAGUGGCUCAACCAUUGUAUGCAUUGGAAACUGGUAGACUUGAGUGCAGAGAGAGAGUGGAAUUCCAUGUGUAGCGGUGAAAUGCGUAGAUAUAUGG